AGAUGUGAAGAAUAAAAUUGAAGGAACUGGCUAUGGUAAUCCUGGAGAAAAGAGGAAUUCGAUGGAGGUUCCUAAGAGGAGCUCAUGAAUUGGAGGAAAAAGCUACAGGAGUAGAGAUAUCUCCAGUGUGAGGAACCAGCUGGAGGGAGAGAUUAAGUUGCUGUGCCUGGUUAGAGGCAAGGAAGCUGAAGCUCUAAAGUUUCAAGUGACCUGCCUAGUUCCACAGCUAGCAAGUGCUGGAAGCAUGAUUUGAAUCCAGAUCUUCCUGAAUCUAGGGAAGUCAAAAAUUCUAUGUACUAUGGCAUACAUGGUCGGCAAGGUUAGUGCUAAAUUUGGAGAAAGGAAU
rnacentral:lncRNA from 1 species